ACUCCUACGGGAGGCAGCAGUGGGGAAUAUUGCACAAUGGGGGAAACCCUGAUGCAGCCAUGCCGCGUGUGUGAGAAGGCAGCUUCGGGUUGUAAAGCACUUUCAGUAGGGAGGAAGGUAGUGUAGUUAACACCUGCACUAUUUGACGUUACCUACAGAAGAAGCACCGGCUAACUCCGUGCCAGCAGCCGCGGUAAUACGGAGGGUGCGAGCGUUAAUCGGAAUUACUGGGCGUAAAGCGCAUGCAGGCGGCCUGUUAAGUCAGAUGUGAAAGCCCGGGGCUUAACCUCGGAAUUGCAUUUGAAACUGGCAGGCUAGAGUCUUGUAGAGGGGGGUAGAAUUUCAGGUGUAGCGGUGAAAUGCGUAGAGAUCUGAAGGAAUACCAGUGGCGAAGGCGGCCCCCUGGACAAAGACUGACGCUCAGAUGCGAAAGCGUGGGGAGCAAACAGGAUUAGAUACCCUGGUAGG
rnacentral:rRNA from 1 species